AGCAGAUGGCUAAAUUAUGUUACCGGACAUGAACCGGAUUUCUUUGGAAAUUUUCUUGUUGGAAGGGUGUCCAGCAGCAAGUAUCAUCUCAACUACCUUGCUCUAAUGCCCACUUUUUUGCAUGGGAAAAUGUUGUUCAGGUAUGUUCGGCCUGAUGAAUCAGUGCAAGGGAAGAGGAGGUCAUUAACGAAAGACUUAGUCUGCACAGGAGACUGAAGUUAUGUCGUGAACACAAGAUGAACGUUGGAAAAAAUCAGCACCAUAAUAUUGGUAUCCAUUCUUCCAGCUACAGCUACUAAAUGAAAAUUGGGUAUAGGGACUGGUGUACGUGAAAAUCCUAGAAGAUCAGCAGUUUCUGAGAUACUGAAACCGCCCUGUCUGACACCAACAAUCAUUGCAUGGUCAAAGUCACUUCGAUCACAUCUCUUCCCCAUUCUGCCAUUUGGUCUGAACAACAACUGAACCUCUUGACCAUAUCUGCAUGCUUUUAUACAUUG